CUCCCUGCUGCCUGCACACGUUCACUGGCACAGACACCGAGAGACAAGCAAACACCCAAGUGCAGAAUACUCACUGCUGCAUUGCAGAGUUUACUGGCAUAAAAUGAUGGGGAUAUCAGCUGAACAGCAGUUAGUCUAAUAGGGAGAAAAUCAUCUAGAGGCCUAUAUGAAGUAGUGUUUAAAAUAUCGCAGCUUGCUGCUUGUGGAGGAGACUGAUGGAAGAAGCGAUGGAAGAACUACUAUUGCUGCUGAUUGCCACUUCAAAUCAUCUGCGAAAAAGGCCUCUGGAAGUGAAUGGGAACUGAUCACCUCCCUACAGAAUUAUUGAGUCAUCCUGCAGAAUUUAACAGAAAAUAAUUCUUUUGCUUCAAAUUGGUAUAAUGUGGUUUAAAAGUGCUAGAAAAAAAGAUGUGUUAGUUUUCACAAUCUAAGUUAUCAUCUGGCGUAAAUUAACUUAAACUGACCUCUGUGCAACUCUCUGAAUGUGUACAAGCUCAGUUUCUGACUACUUAGAUUUUCAUAUGUGUAUUUGCAGUGCUUUAGCGGUUUCAUCUCUGGUUCUUUCACACAAAAAUAACAGCCCUUUUUAUCUGUUUGAGACCUGACAUGAAGGGUUUAUCUCCAUGUAAAUUUUUUGCAGCCUGUUUGUGAAGGUUCUGAAAUGGUUUGUAGAGAAAGUUCUGAUGAAACUUAGCUAUAGUUCAGUACUCCAAUGUGGUAAGGAAAAAUCCUCUGAGCUGCUGUCAGCAAGUGAGCAGCUGGCUUUCAUCCACUCCAUUCUUCACUGUAAUCUUCAUUAGCGUAAGAGUUGGUGUUUUGCUCCCCUCUCACGGAUGCCGUAGUGUUUGAACUCCAAGGGGCUGGUGGAAUAAACGCCCUCAUACAGGCCUCUCUGCUGACCACUGCCAGCAUUUCUUUAGCAAGCACCUAAUGAAUAUAUACCUUACAUAUACCACAAAGGAGAGGAAUUACUAUGCACAAGCCUUUGAAAGAAAUGAAGCAGAAGGAUGCUCUUGCACUUUCUGCCAACAUCAUAUUUACUGUCCAUCCAUUUGUUUCCCAUGUAGCCUCCCCGCUGGCAAAUCCCCUGUUAUAUGUGUGAAGAUGAGACAAUGGGAGGUCACUGUGCGCAGCAAAUGCACACAUUGUUCCACAGGCUCCCUGCAGGAAUCCCUGCAUUCACAUGACUCAUUUUCCAAAGUUUGGUUGGUUUUUUUCUCUGUAGGGGAUGGGUAAGAGGAAACGGGACAACUUUGCACAGCUCUAUGCAGAUUAGUGGCAAGUUCAUGCCCAUACAUUGAGGUGGGCAGAAUAACUGUAUUUUUCCCCAAAGUGCUUAUUCGUAACGCAUGCAUGAAUUCACUUAACAAGCUUAAAUUAUUUAUUGAACUUUGGGAUGAAUGGAGAGUAUGGGUGGGGGAUGACAAAACUAGCAGAGAUAAUUGAAUACACUUAGCAAUCAUAACAACUUUACAUAGCUCUAUCAUAUUCUCUAAAGAUAUCACAGCGCGGACAACAUGGCUAGGGUUUUAAAAUGUCUAGGAAUUUCUGUCUUAAGAUAGUUAGCGAUAAUUGGAAACUUUCACAUCAAACAUUUUUAGCUUGGUUAACAUAUAUGCCUCUUUACUUUAAUUCUCAUUAAAAUAGUGUAAAACAGAGAAGGUUUUCCCUUUGUCAUUUUUUCAGGACUCGAGUAAGCAGGAAGAACCUCUGAGAGGCUCUCUUUUGGAACUGAAGUCUGCCUUGGUGAUGCCACAGGCUGCCAAAGGCGGAUGGGUUAAAACACAGAAGGCAGAAGUCCCUCAUAUUUGGCAGUGUUUGUAGUACCAAAUGAGAUGAGGGAGACAUGAUGUAAUAACAGGUUGAUUUGACUUGUAAAACUGGUGAAGUCUUUAAGCACUGGAGAAAAUCUUGCUAGAUCAAACCAUAAGUUUCCAUCUUCUUUUCAUCUGAGCCUAAAUUUGUACCUUUGCCCUUGUUCUGACUUCAACCAGGACCUCAAACCCACAGUUUGCAGCAAGGGAUCCAUCUCAGCUCACACCUAAUUAACUGCUUAAUUAGAGCUGCUCUGGGGAAAAAAUGCUGUUUGGUUUCCCUUUCCCUGUAGUGCCUGACGCUGCUCAUGGCAGGACCGUGGUUCAGCAAGAUGCACUCAGAGCAGCGGAGCCUUCCUGGUGACACACGGCAGGUUCAAGGUGAAGGGCGCCUCUGCUUGGGCUUUUCUUCUCUCUUCUGAGGUAAUUGACCUUGAUGCUACCACGAAGCUCUGCCUCAGGUUGUACCACUCGCACCACAGCUAAUUACCUUAGCUGGAGCUGCGGACUAACACCCUGUAGUUUAAUUUGGGAGAGUGAUAUGAAGGUCACUGAGGAAGGUAAUGCAGUCCUGUUGAUUGAACAUGUGGAUAACGGCACCACAAAAACAUAAUCUGCUUUGUUGGGGACAUGAUAAACCCGGUUUAUGUAUGCAAUUGGCAAGUAGUGCCUCUAAGUGUUACUCUAUCAGAUAAUCCAGACAGAAGAGCAAUUACAUAUGCCUCCGGUCCCCUAAUAUGGCUUUAAUCUAAGGCUUAGGUCAUUUUCAUAUUUGUAGGGUAUUAAAAGUAACUCAUCCAUUUCCUGCUGGUCUUCUUGAUUUUUAUUCAUUAAAUAUUCAUUAAAUAUGUAACCAAGAAAAGGUAGCUUAAGAGGGAGAUUUUUGAUAUUCCAAAGGGCAAAAUCUCAGUGGGACAUGCCCUCUUUUUCCGUCUAGAGUAAUAUCUUCAGAAGCCUCGGAAAAUGAACUGGUGUUUGCAAACAGAUGCCGAGCAGCUUUUGUGAGUGUAUGCAGAUAGUUGAAGUGUCACUUGUGAAACUCACCACAUGCACGAAGCCCGGGUGGUCUGUGGAUGGGCAGUAAACUUGCUGUGUAGAUGUAUGCAGCCCAGCCAGCACAAUGCCCAGGGAGUAUGCAUCUCUUUACAACAGUCCUGCCCAGCAGUUGCACCCCCCUUUCUGACAGGGACACCCCAGCC